AUGAGCAGCAAACAGGAGGUGCAACAGAGUCCUCCAGCUCUGACUAUCCAAGAGGGAGAGACCUUGGCUCUCAACUGCAGUUACACUGACAGUGCAAUGUACUUUCUUCAGUGGUUUAGGCAAGACCCUGGGAAAGGUCUCAAAUCUCUCUUGGUAAUUCAGUCAAAUCAGAGGGAACAAAAGAAUAGAAGACUUAAAGCCCUGUUGGAUAAAUCAUCAAGACAUAGUGUUUUAUACAUUGCCACAUCUCAGACUGAUGACUCAACCACCUACUUCUGUGCUGUGAGGCACAGUGCACAACAGACACCUGAUUUUGUAGAUGUUAUGGUGACCAUCACUUGUGACGGUUUUUCUGUUUCUGAUCAGGUUUGA